rnacentral:misc_RNA from 1 species
GCUAUUGAAGGCCCAGAUUUCAGAGAAAAGAGCUUAGAAGAAUUGAUUGAGUUGAUUCCCAAGAUUCAGGUAAUGGCUAGAUCCUCACCACUAGACAAGCAUACCUUAGUCAAACACCUGCGUUCUAUGCUCAAUGAAGUGGUUGCUGUGACUGGUGAUGGCACAAAUGACGCUCCAGCACUUCAUGAGGCCGAUAUUGGACUUGCAAUGGGUAUUGCCGGAACUGAGGUGGCUAAAGAAAGUGCCGAUGUCAUAAUUCUUGACGACAAUUUCUCAACAAUAGUAACUGUGACAAAAUGGGGACGUUCUGUAUACAUCAACAUUCAGAAGUUUGUACAGUUUCAGCUCACGGUUA